UGCAUUAAGAUUUAUUUGAGUUUAUUAAAAAUAAUUGUUUGAAAAUCUAUGCUUGUUUUUUUGUUCUUAAAAUACUGCAUAAACUUCUUUUAACGGGAGGAAGGCCUUCGCGACUCAAUGAACGGCCAGCCCAUCGGCCUGGUAGGAGGUGACGAUUUCGUUACCCGAUCGCGUGCUUCGUUUCCGUUAGCCUCGUCCUUUCGGUUUAUUGUGUGUGAUCGUAUUGAAUGGUGCUGAUCGCCGGCGAAAGGAGGGAGGUGCUGGAACGGAUCUGAGACGCCGUGUCUUCUUUCUGCCUCAUUUCCGCCUCAGAUCAAGGGGAUGGCGUAUCAUUCGCCUGAUCAGACUUCAGAAAUAAAAAGAACUAUUUGAUGGGCAAGCAAACAACACCAUAGCACAUAGUAAAAUCCUUGAAAGCAAUCUGGUGCACAAAGCUUCAGUUGAUGUGGGGUAUCGAAGAAAGAGACAAGAGACCAUAUUGAAUUUAUUGUACACAUUCUUAUUCUGUAUUAUAGAAGAUUAUUUUCA